CGUGUAGGCGGCCGAAUAAGUCAGAUGUGAAAUCCCUGGGCUUAACCCAGGACGUGCAUUUGAAACUAUUCGGCUAGAGUAGGGGAGAGGAAAGUGGAAUUCCUGGUGUAGAGGUGAAAUUCGUAGAUAUCAGGAGGAACACCGGUGGCGAAGGCGACUUUCUGGCCCUAUACUGACGCUGAGACGCGAGAGCGUGGGUAGCAAACA
rnacentral:rRNA from 1 species